AGAAUCUUGUUAUUUGCAGUUGGGAAAGAUAAUGUUCUUUAAUAGAAAGCAUCAUAUUGUUUACAGUACUAGAAACCUCUAGUACAGAAUUCUAUGUACAAUUUUUCACCAACUUACAAGUCCCAGCAUUCCAUAGUAUAGAGAUAUGGUAGUUAAAGUAGUACAAAACUGCUUUGACUGUGCUGUGUGGACAAAUCCUAGGGGAGAAGUAGGAAGCGCAUAGUUGUGACGACGCGAGUGGCGCCAUCUAUAUGUUGAACUGUAAGUUGCAAGAUUUGAAUUGUUGUAUCAUGCCUGAUUUUGCCUUUACCCUGUAAAUGUAGUUGGAUUGAUUGGUUAUUUAUAGCUGUCAAUCAAUGUUGUUUGCACCAGUUAUAUUGCUCCCUCAGCUCAAUUGUUUGACUCCACCCUUUCCUGGAGUGGGUCAGUGUUUUCUUUUUCAUUCCACUAUCAAGCUUUCUACCAGAUGGACGUGAGAGAGAGACUUGGCUCUAAAAGCCCUUGAUUAAGUUACCUCUCAGCACCAAUUCUGAGGUUCUUACCCUUGAGACUUAUGCUUCAUGUUCAGGGCCAACCUGGACGAUGUUGAGGAGUCUCAAGUGCCUUCAGAUCAGUUCUUUGGCACCAGAGGAAGACUGUGUCUUCAAACAUAGGCCACUUGGACUGAGGCUGAGGCUCCAGCAUUCACAGCCAUUGAGAAAGAGGGACCUGGAAAAGCUUCUCAGCUGCAGAGCUCCUUGGACUUAAGACAACCAAAGACUAAGAACAGGGGAAGAAGAUUGUGCAGGAAUUGGAAUAUUGUGGGGGCCUGGGGAAGCUUACUUCCAGAUCUGUGAUGUUCGCUGCGAAAAAGCUAUUCAGAAUCUGGUUGCUGUGACCAUUGAACUUUAUGGACGCCUUGACUGCCUGGUGAACAAUGCUGGAAUCGUAUGCUCUGCCUUACCUCCGAAAAACAAAAGGGAACAUCAUCAAUCUUUCCAGUCUUUUGCAUAUCAUUGGGGACAAGCGCAGUGUGCCCUAUGUCUCAAGCAAGGUAGGCUAGAGCAAUAGGACCUGAAAUUAUCCCCACAUCCCCUAUUGUUCUAAAGCAAGGGUUGCCAACAUUUCUUAAUGACUUUAGCAGCAGUGACUUUAGCAGCAAGCAUUGAAGCUUGUCUCCAAGCCUCUGUUAAAGGCCACAAGAAUAGGCCAGGUUGUUAUUGUUUCCUUCUAGUGAAAUGCUGCCCAAUGGUCAGAAAAGUUCCGUUUGGAGACUACAGGUGUUACCCCUUGUACUACAUUUGGAACAGCUGAGGAAUGAUGAAAGCAGGGAUUUUCUUUGGUGGCCCCAUCCUUAUUAAAAACCAGUUUUCCUAGCUCCCUUUUUGAUUAUGGUCAGAGGGACAAAAAGUUUUUCAACUCACUGUGAAAUAUAAGUCUUUCUUUUAUGUUGUGAUUUUUAGUGUUCUGGCUUUAUUUUUUCA